rnacentral:rRNA from 1 species
GACGAACGCUGGCGGCGUGCUUAACACAUGCAAGUCACGGGGGCCCGCAAGGGCAACCGGCGAACGGGUGCGUAACACGUGAACAACCUGCCCUCGUGUGGGGGAUAGCCAUGCUAACGCGUGGGUAAUACCGCAUACGUUCUUUUGGGGGAGUCCCUGGAAGAGGAAAGCUCCGGCGCACGGGGAGGGGUUCGCGGCCUAUCAGCUAGUUGGCGGGGUAAUGGCCCACCAAGGCGACGACGGGUAGCUGGUCGAGAGGAUGGCCAGCCACAUUGGGACUGAGAGACGGCCCAGACUCCUACGGGAGGCAGCAGUGGGGAAUCUUGCGCAAUGGCCGAAAGGCUGACGCAGCGACGCCGCGUGUGGGAUGAAGCAUUUCGGUGUGUAAACCACUGUUGCCCGGGACGAACAGCCUUUUCGAGAGGUCUGACGGUACCGGGUGAGGAAGC